CCGUUGCAGUGUGUUGUGGCUAACAGGGAAAAUAUUUGCAAUACGCCUAAUGAAAAUAGAAUCCUUUACUACCAAAAAAAUUGAAUCCCAAUUCCCCAAAAAAAAGAACACUAAGACAAAAGAAGCAAAACACAAACACAAAACACUUUCUGAAACGCAAAAACCCUUUCAUCAGAUCAACUCCGCAUCGUCGUUUUCCUUCACCGUCGGUCCUUCAUGGCGUUCCAACAAUAACAAGCACUACGGAGUUCCUGCAACUACAAAUCCCUAAUUAGGCUUCAAAUCCCUAACUCCUUCCAAAUCCAAACCCCUAACUCGUUCAUCUAUCAUUCCAAUCCCUAAUCGUCAAAUCUGUGACAAAUCUCAGUUCUUGUGUCGUGACUCGUUUGUUCUCCGUCCGCCGAUCUGUGACUCGUCAUCUUUCUACGUGCUUCGAGCCUCUCUAGUUGGUAAGAAUCUAAAAAACCCUAGUCCUCUUUUUGUUUCCUCUAUUUCCCCCUUAAAUAUAGCUGCCUGCGUUGAAAUAUUAUUUGAGGAUUGAGGUUAACGAUAUUAGAGUACUAAAGCCUUUCAAUUUUUUUUUUGUUGAUGUUUGAUUUUAAUGUUUCUCUGUUCUAUUUACUGAGGUGAAUGAUUUAUGGAAGUAAAGUCUAUCAAUCGCGGCUUCCUCUUUGAUUUCUCCAUAACAAAACCCAAAAUUUGUUAGUUUCUCCAUUCUUAUGUACCUUAUGGCUUUUUGUUUAAUCUUUUGUUAAUUCUCUAUAUUAAUAAUAAUGCUCAUUAAUUUCUUCACAAUUUUAUUCUUUAAUGUUUGUCUCAAAAUGCAUUGUUUUGUUUUGUUUGUAGAUGAAUUAGUUUGGUUUUGUGGAUAAGCUAGUGUGUGCAUUGGUUUGGUCUUUUCCCGGUUGCGGCUGCUGGCGUAUUUGGCCUCUAGUACUGGUUUUUAUGUGCUUUCUUGCUCAUUUCUUGUGUCAUUGGAUUUUGAGUUUAUGUUAUUGGUGAAGGCCUGAUUUGGUUUGGGUUUUCUGGCAUAUCUGGUCUUUUGGCCCUUAAGUAUGGUUUUUGGUUCCCUUGUUUGUGGUUCUAUAUCUGUUUUUGCUGCUGGUAGUUUGGGUAAGGUGAGGGUUUUGGGACUUGUAGCUUUUUAGUUUUUAGUUCCAGCUUUUGUUUCAUGGUUGCUUACUUUACGGUUGUCGAUGUCAAUAAAUAUAAGUUUCUAUGAUAUCUAUUCUCUUUUUUAUGUUAUCCUUUAUUUUAUAUUUAUAUUUAUAUGUUGAUUAUUAUUAUUGAUGUGAUUUUAGGUCCAAUUUUACAAUAAUCUUAUGAAUUUAUUUGAUGUUCUUUGAAUGAGUUUAUCUCGAAUUGGAAACCAUCGAGAAACAGAGAGUGGUCGGUGGACUUCACAAAACCAUCAGACUCAUCGUCCGUAGUUGUUGCUCCUUCUAUAAUCGCACUGAAACAGGUAACUUAAUUAGAGGAGUCAAGAGAUGGUAGGCAUUCUGAGUCUUGCUAUCACUAAUUAAGGAUCAUGAAGCAACAUCACGUACUAAGGAAUAUUUAGAUAUUUUGCGAACUUCUUUUGACAUAAUGUUUUGUAUGUAUAGCCACUCUACUAAUGUUUAUGUUUUAGUUUUUGGAUGUUUGAAUUACAUUAAUUUUUUCUUUUGGAGUUUCUAAUACUUCAAUUAAAUUUAUGAUGUAUGGAUGUUGCCAUUAUUGAAUGAA